GUAAACUGCGAAUGGCUCGGUAAAUCAGUUAUAGUUUAUUUGAUAGUGCAACCUACUCGGAUAACCGUAGUAACACUAGAGCUAAUACGUGCGUAAAUCCCGACUUUUGGAAGGGACGUAUUKAUUAKAUUUAUGGCCAGCCGGGCUUGCCCGACCAGCGGUGAAUCAUGGUAACUUGACGGAUUGCAUGGCCUCCGUGCCGGCGACGUGUCAUUCAAGUUUCUGCCCCAUCAGGUUUCGACUGUAGUGUAUUGGACUACAGUGCCUAUAACGGGUAGCGGAGGAUUARGGUUCGAUUCCGGAGAGGGAGCCUGAGAAACGGCUACCACAUCCAAGGAAGGSAGCRGGCSCGSAAAUUACCCAAUCCCAACUCAGGGAGGUAGUGACAAGAAAUAGCAAUGCGGGGCUUCUUGCUCUGCAAUUGGAAUGAGAACAAUUUAAAUCACUUAACKAGUAUCAAUUGGAGGGCAAGUCUGGUGCCAGCAGCCGCGGUAAUUCCAGCUCCAAUAGCGUAUAUGUAAGUUGUUGCGAUUAAAAAGCCCGCARCUGAACCUCGGGCAACCCUGACKGUCCKCG
rnacentral:rRNA from 1 species